ACAAUGAAGAGUUUGAUCCUGGCUCAGGAUGAACGCUAGCUACAGGCUUAACACAUGCAAGUCGAGGGGCAUCAGGAAGAAAGCUUGCUUUCUUUGCUGGCGACCGGCGCACGGGUGAGUAACACGUAUCCAACCUGCCCUUUACUCGGGGAUAGCCUUUCGAAAGAAAGAUUAAUACCCGAUAGCAUAAUGAUUCCGCAUGGUUUCAUUAUUAAAGGAUUCCGGUAAAGGAUGGGGAUGCGUUCCAUUAGGUUGUUGGUGAGGUAACGGCUCACCAAGCCUUCGAUGGAUAGGGGUUCUGAGAGGAAGGUCCCCCACAUUGGAACUGAGACACGGUCCAAACUCCUACGGGAGGCAGCAGUGAGGAAUAUUGGUCAAUGGGCGCUAGCCUGAACCAGCCAAGUAGCGUGAAGGAUGAAGGCUCUAUGGGUCGUAAACUUCUUUUAUAUAAGAAUAAAGUGCAGUAUGUAUACUGUUUUGUAUGUAUUAUAUGAAUAAGGAUCGGCUAACUCCGUGCCAGCAGCCGCGGUAAUACGGAGGAUCCGAGCGUUAUCCGGAUUUAUUGGGUUUAAAGGGAGCGUAGGUGGACUGGUAAGUCAGUUGUGAAAGUUUGCGGCUCAACCGUAAAAUUGCAGUUGAUACUGUCAGUCUUGAGUACAGUAGAGGUGGGCGGAAUUCGUGGUGUAGCGGUGAAAUGCUUAGAUAUCACGAAGAACUCCGAUUGCGAAGGCAGCUCACUGGACUGCAACUGACACUGAUGCUCGAAAGUGUGGGUAUCAAACAGGAUUAGAUACCCUGGUAGUCCACACAGUAAACGAUGAAUACUCGCUGUUUGCGAUAUACAGUAAGCGGCCAAGCGAAAGCAUUAAGUAUUCCACCUGGGGAGUACGCCGGCAACGGUGAAACUCAAAGGAAUUGACGGGGGCCCGCACAAGCGGAGGAACAUGUGGUUUAAUUCGAUGAUACGCGAGGAACCUUACCGGGCUUAAAUUGCAGUGGAAUGAUGUGGAAACAUGUCAGUGAGCAAUCACCGCUGUGAAGGUGCUGCAUGGUUGUCGUCAGCUCGUGCCGUGAGGUGUCGGCUUAAGUGCCAUAACGAGCGCAACCCUUAUCUUCAGUUACUAACAGGUCAUGCUGAGGACUCUGGAGAGACUGCCGUCGUAAGAUGUGAGGAAGGUGGGGAUGACGUCAAAUCAGCACGGCCCUUACGUCCGGGGGCUACACACGUGUUACAAUGGGGGGUACAGAAGGCAGCUAGCGGGUGACCGUAUGCUAAUCCCAAAAGCCUCUCUCAGUUCGGAUCGAAGUCUGCAACCCGACUUCGUGAAGCUGGAUUCGCUAGUAAUCGCGCAUCAGCCACGGCGCGGUGAAUACGUUCCUGGCCUUGUACACACCGCCCGUCAAGCCAUGGGAGCCUUCGGGGUACCUGAAGUACGUAACCGCAAGGAUCGUCCUAGGGUAAAACUGGUGACUGGGGCUAAGUCGUAACAAGGUAGCCGUACCGGAAGGUGCGGCUGGAACACCUCCUUU
rnacentral:rRNA from 1 species